ensembl:miRNA
UAUAUUGUUGUCUGGUAUGUAGUAGGUAAUAACUGAAAAACAGACAAUUGCCUAACAUGUGCCAGAAAGCAACAUA